rnacentral:rRNA from 1 species
GACGAACGCUGGCGGCGUGCUUAACACAUGCAAGUCACGGGGGGGUCGCAAGACUCAACCGGCGAACGGGUGCGUAACACGUGAGCGACCUGCCGAGAUGAGGGGGAGUAGCCGGGCCGAACGCCCGGGUAAUACCGCAUACCCUGCGCGGGGGGCGAUUCCCUGUGCAGUAAACCUCCGGGGCAUUUCGAGGGGCUCGCGGCCUAUCAGCUAGUUGGCGGGGUAGCGGCCCACCAAGGCGACGAC